CCUCCCGUAGGUGAACCUGCGGAAGGAUCAUUCACCGAGGUUUUUCGAGCUCCGGCUCGACUCUCCCACCCUUUGUGAACGUACCUCUGUUGCUUUGGCGGCUCCGGCCGCCAAAGGACCUUCAAACUCCAGUCAGUAAACGCAGACGUCUGAUAAACAAGUUAAUAAACUAAAACUUUCAACAACGGAUCUCUUGGUUCUGGCAUCGAUGAAGAACGCAGCGAAAUGCGAUAAGUAAUGUGAAUUGCAGAAUUCAGUGAAUCAUCGAAUCUUUGAACGCACAUUGCGCCCCUUGGUAUUCCGGGGGGCAUGCCUGUUCGAGCGUCAUUACAACCCUCAAGCUCUGCUUGGAAUUGGGCACCGUCCUCACUGCGGACGCGCCUCAAAGACCUCGGCGGUGGCUGUUCAGCCCUCAAGCGUAGUAGAAUACACCUCGCUUUGGAGCGGUUGGCGUCGCCCGCCGGACGAACCUUCUGAACUUUUCUCAAGGUUGACCUCGGAUCAGGUAGGGAUACCCGCUGAACUUAAGCAUAUCAAUAAGCGGAGGAA
rnacentral:rRNA from 1 species